rnacentral:rRNA from 1 species
UGGGGAAUAUUGCACAAUGGAGGGAACUCUGAUGCAGCGACGCCGCGUGAGUGAUGAAGGAAUUCGUUUCGUAAAACUCUGUUCUAUGGGAAGAAAAGGACUGUACCAUAGGAGAAAGCUCCGGCUAAAUACGUGCCAGCAGCCGCGGUAAUACGUAUGGAGCGAGCGUUGUCCGGAAUUAUUGGGCGUAAAGGGUGCGCAGGCGGCUUUACAAGUUGGAUGUGAAAUAUUGUGGCUCAACCACAAACGUGCAUCCAAAACUGCAAAGCUUGAGUCAAGGAGAGGUAAGUGGAAUUCCUGGUGUAGCGGUGGAAUGCGUAGAUAUCAGGAGGAAUACCGGUGGCGAAGGCGACUUACUGGACUUAAACUGACGCUCAGGCACGAAAGCGUGGGGAGCAAACAGG